rnacentral:rRNA from 1 species
ACGAACGCUGGCGGCGCGCCUAGCACAUGCAAGUCGAACGGAGCUGAGAGAAGCUUGCUUUUCUUAGCUUAGUGGCGAACGGGUGAGUAACGCGUGAGUAACCUGCCCUGGAGUGGGGGACAACAGUUGGAAACGACUGCUAAUACCGCAUAAGCCCACGAUCCGGCAUCGGAUUGAGGGAAAAGGAUUUAUUCGCUUCAGGAUGGACUCGCGUCCAAUUAGCUAGUUGGUGAGGUAACGGCCCACCAAGGCGACGAUUGGUAGCCGGACUGAGAGGUUGAACGGCCACAUUGGGACUGAGACACGGCCCAGACUCCUACGGGAGGCAGCAGUGGGGGAUAUUGCACAAUGGGGGAAACCCUGAUGCAGCGACGCCGCGUGGAGGAAGAAGGUUUUCGGAUUGUAAACUCCUGUCGUUAGGGACGAUAAUGACGGUACCUAACAAGAAAGCACCGGCUAACUACGUG